rnacentral:rRNA from 1 species
UACGAGGGGGGGGGCAAAGCCGUUUUGUUUUCGGGGGAAAUUUUAUUUUGGGGGGCCGUUAAAAAGGGGGGGUUGGCCGGUUUAAGGGGGGCCCGGGGGGUUGGCCUUUAAUUUUAAAAAGGGGGGUUUUUUUCCUUUGGGGUUUUUUGGGGGGGUUUUUUGGGGGGAAAAAAAUUUUUCCCCCCUUUUUUCCCCCCUUUUUUGGGGGGGCCCCCCUUUUUUCCCCCCAAAAACCCCCUUUUU